GACGAACGCUGGCGGCGUGCUUAACACAUGCAAGUCGAACGAAGAGCGAUGGAAGCUUGCUUCUAUCAAUCUUAGUGGCGAACGGGUGAGUAACGCGUAAUCAACCUGCCCUUCAGAGGGGGACAACAGUUGGAAACGACUGCUAAUACCGCAUACGAUCUAAUCUCGGCAUCGAGGAUAGAUGAAAGGUGGCCUCUACAUGUAAGCUAUCACUGAAGGAAGGGAUUGCGUCUGAUUAGCUAGUUGGAGGGGUAACGGCCCACCAAGGCGAUGAUCAGUAGCCGGUCUGAGAGGAUGAACGGCCACAUUGGGACUGAGACACGGCCCAGACUCCUACGGGAGGCAGCAGUGGGGAAUCUUCCGCAAUGGACGAAAGUCUGACGGAGCAACGCCGCGUGAGUGAUGACGGCCUUCGGGUUGUAAAGCUCUGUUAAUCGGGACGAAAGGCCUUCUUGCGAAUAGUGAGAAGGAUGACGGUACC
rnacentral:rRNA from 1 species